CCAAUCUCUAUAUUGAGAUAGGCCAGGGACUGUCCAUACAUUUUUACCACACUUCGUGUGCCCAGUUCGACUCCCCUCGCAAUCAUCUCUCCUCUCUCUCUCUCUCUCUCUCUCUCUCUCGCGCGCGCGCUCUCGCAUCCAUGGCGUCGACCGACCCAUCGGCUCCCAAGGGUGAACAAGAAUCAGAAGAGUCGAAACAAAGCACUGCAGACAUGACAACUUUUGUGCAAAACCUCCUCAUGCAGAUGCAAACUAGGUUCCAGGCUAUGUCUGAGAGCAUAAUUUCGAAGAUUGACGAAAUGGGAAGCCGCAUUGAUGAGCUGGAGAAAAGCAUCAAUGACCUAAAAGCUGAGAUGGAAACAGAGAGUGGGCCAAAGGUGAGUCCCCAAGAAACUAAGCCUGCUGAUGGAUCUGCAUAAGAUUGUCACGAGCACUGAGUGGAGGAAUUACAUUGCAAUACUGGGAUAGUACAUGGACCUAGUGGAAUACUGGCAUAGUACAUGUUCGCAGCUGUUAUAUGUUCCAAAAUUAAGGUGAAAUUUCAAAGGGACUAGUUGGAGACUACUAAAUUUAGACAUCCAUCUUAUUGUAUCUCAGCUGAGUAAAUAGUGUCAAAAUUUUCAUCCGAGACGUGUCGGAAUUUGAAUGUAAAGCUUUAUUUAGUGAUUCAAUACACUAACAUGGUUGAUGGAGAAUUGUUGACUGGUGAGAAUGAAAAAGAUGUACUUUUCCUUCUACAUGGUUUUGAGUGCACUUUUCUCUCUUUGUGGUUUGUGCUGUAUAUGAUACUCUGUUACCAAAUUUGUUGGCCAUAUAUAUUUUCUUUUUCUCAUCA